UAUUUUGACUAUACAAAGGUAUUGAAAUAAGAUUUUAAUUGAAUGCUAAGAGAAUGGAAUUUCAGAAAAAAACUUUUUUUAAAUUAAAAAUUGAAAUUUUUUUAAUUUGUGCAGAAACAAUUAUUAACAUUAAGGACAAGAAGACCCUAUGAAUUUUUAAAAUUUUUAAUAAUAGUAAUUUAUUAUUAUUAAAAAUUUUAGCUGGGGCGGCUAAAAAAUAUAAUUAACUUUUUAAGAAUAAAACGAUCCACUAAUAAUGAUUACAUGUUAAAUACUCUAGGGAUAACAGCGUUAUAUUUUUUGAUAGACCAUAUUGACAAAAAAGUUUGCGACCUCGAUGUUGGAUUAGGAUACUUUUUUAGUGAAGAUAUUAAAAAAAGAAGUUUGUUCAACUUUUAAUUUCCU
rnacentral:rRNA from 1 species